rnacentral:rRNA from 1 species
UACGUGAGGUGCAAGCGUUUAAUCGGAAUUACUGGGCGUAAAGCGUGCGCAGGCGGUUCGCUAAGACAGAUGUGAAAUCCCCGGGCUCAACCUGGGAACUGCAUUUGUGACUGCAUCGCUGGAGUGCGGCAGAGGGGGGAUGGAAUUCCGCGUGUAGCAGUGAAAUGCGUAGAUAUGCGGAGGAACACCGAUGGCGAAGGCAAUCCCCUGGGCCUGCACUGACGCUCAUGCACGAAAGCGUGGGGAGCAAACAGG